GCCAAAGCUAGCCCAAUCACCCACAAACACAACUAAUAUUAUGAAAGUAAAAUAAAACAUUUAGUCACCUCAUAAAAGUAUAGGAGAUAGAAAUUUAACUUGGCGCUAUAGAGAAAGUACCGCAAGGGAAAGAUGAAAGAAUAAAACUAAAAGCACUAUACAGCAAAGAUUACCCCUUGUACCUUUUGCAUAAUGAGUUAGCUAGUAAUAACCUAACAAAGAGAACUUCAGCUAGGCCCCCCGAAACCAGACGAGCUACCCACGAACAAUCUAUUGCAGGAUGAACUCGUCUAUGUUGCAAAAUAGUGAGAAGAUUUGUGGGUAGAGGUGAAAAGCCUAACGAGCCUGGUGAUAGCUGGUUGCCCAGAACAGAAUCUUAGUUCAACUUUAAACUUGCCUCAAAACCCUAAAAUUCCAAUGUAAGUUUAAAACAUAGUCUAAAGGGGUACAGCUUUUUAGAAUUAGGAUACAGCCUUAAUUAGAGAGUAAGCACAUAACACUAAACCAUAGUUGGCCUAAAAGCAGCCACCAAUUAAGAAAGCGUUCAAGCUCAACAAUUAAAACAUCUUAAUGUCAAAAUAAUGCAACCAACUCCUAAUUUAAAACUGGGCUAAUCUAUUUGAUAAUAGAAGCAAUAAUGCUAAUAUGAGUAACAAGAAGUAUUUCUCCCGUGCAUAAGCUUAUAUCAGAACGGAUAACCACUGAUAGUUAACAACAAGAUAAAUAUAACCUAAUUACAAGCAAAAUAUCAAACUAAUUGUUAACCCAACACAGGCAUGCAAUUCAGGGAAAGAUUAAAAGAAGUAAAAGGAACUCGGCAAACACAAGCCCCGCCUGUUUACCAAAAACAUCACCUCUAGCAUUUUCAGUAUUAGAGGCACUGCCUGCCCAGUGACACUAGUUAAACGGCCGCGGUAUCCUGACCGUGCAAAGGUAGCAUAAUCAUUUGUUCCCUAAAUAGGGACUUGUAUGAAUGGCCACACGAGGGCUUUACUGUCUCUUACCUCCGAUCCGUGAAAUUGACCUUCCCGUGAAGAGGCGGGAAUAUGACAAUAAGACGAGAAGACCCUAUGGAGCUUUAAUUAACCAGCCCAAAGAGAUCUUAAUAACCAACCGACAGGGUAUAACAAACCUCUACCAUGGGCUGACAAUUUAGGUUGGGGUGACCUCGGAGAACAAAACAACCUCCGAGUGAUUUAAAUCUAGACUAACCAGUCGAAAGUAUUACAUCACUUAUUGAUCCAAAGACUUGAUCAACGGAACAAGUUACCCUAGGGAUAACAGCGCAAUCCUAUUUCAGAGUCCAUAUCGACAAUAGGGUUUACGACCUCGAUGUUGGAUCAGGACAUCCCGAUGGUGCAGCAGCUAUCAAAGGUUCGUUUGUUCAACGAUUAAAGUCCUACGUGAUCUGAGUUCAGACCGGAGUAAUCCAGGUCGGUUUCUAUCUAUUACAUAAUUUCUCCCAGUACGAAAGGACAAGAGAAAUAGGGCCCACUUUACCAAAGCGCCCUUAACCAAAUAGAUGAUACAAUCUCAAUCUAGACAGUUUAUCUAAAUACAUUACCCGAGAGCUCGGGUUU
rnacentral:rRNA from 1 species